rnacentral:rRNA from 1 species
GACGAACGCUGGCGGCGUGCUUAACACAUGCAAGUCGAGCGGUAAGGCCCUUUCGGGGGUACACGAGCGGCGAACGGGUGAGUAACACGUGGGUGACCUGCCCUCAGCUCUGGGAUAAGCCUGGGAAACCGGGUCUAAUACUGGAUAUGACUCCAUGACGCAUGUUGUGGGGUGGAAAGCCUUGUGCGGCUGAGGAUGGGCCCGCGGCCUAUCAGCUUGUUGGUGGGGCGAUGGCCUACCAAGGCGACGACGGGUAGCCGGCCUGAGAGGGCGACCGGCCACACUGGGACUGAGACACGGCCCAGACUCCUACGGGAGGCAGCAGUGGGGAAUCUUGCGCAAUGGGCGAAAGCCUGACGCAGCGACGCCG